UACGUAGGUGGCAAGCGUUAUCCGGAAUUAUUGGGCGUAAAGCGCGCGUAGGCGGUUUCUUAAGUCUGAUGUGAAAGCCCACGGCUCAACCGUGGAGGGUCAUUAGAAACUGGGAAACUUGAGUGCAGAAGAGGAAAGUGGAAUUCCACGUGUAGCGGUGAAAUGCGUAGAGAUGUGGAGGAACACCUGUGGCGAAGGCGGCUUUCUGGUCUGUAACUGACGCUGAGGCGCGAAAGCGUGGGGAGCAAACAGG
rnacentral:rRNA from 1 species